rnacentral:rRNA from 1 species
UACGUAGGUGGCAAGCGUUGUCCGGAAUUACUGGGCGUAAAGGGCGCGUAGGCGGCAUGGCAAGUCGGGAGUGAGAGGCCUGGGCUCAACCGAGGAACUGCUUUCGAGACUGCCAAGCUAGAGUGCGGAAGGGGCAUCUGGAAUUCCCAGUGUAGCGGUGAAAUGCGUAGAUAUUGGGAAGAACACCUGAGGCGAAGGCGGGAUGCUGGGCCGACACUGACGCUGAGGCGCGAAAGCCAGGGGAGCAAACGGG